AACGAACGCUGGCGGCAGGCCUAACACAUGCAAGUCGAGCGAAGCCUUCGGGCUUAGCGGCGGACGGGUGAGUAACGCGUGGGAACGUGCCCUUUGGUACGGAAUAGCCCCGGGAAACUGGGAGUAAUACCGUAUGUGGUCGAGAGACGAAAGAUUUAUCGCCAAAGGAUCGGCCCGCGUUGGAUUAGGUAGUUGGUGGGGUAAUGGCCUACCAAGCCGACGAUCCAUAGCUGGUUUGAGAGGAUGAUCAGCCACACUGGGACUGAGACACGGCCCAGCCUCCUACGGGAGGCAGCAGUGGGGAAUCUUGGACAAUGGGGGAAACCCUGAUCUAGCCAUGCCGCGUGAGCGAUGAAGGCCUUAGGGUUGUAAAGAUCUUUCAGUGGGGAAGAUAAUGACUGUACCCACAGAAGAAGCCCCGGCUAACUCCGUGCCAGCAGCCGCAGUAACAC
rnacentral:rRNA from 1 species